UCUUGCUGCUAUCUCAGAAAGAUUUUAAGAUAGCAAUGAGGUAAAUCUACUGUUAUAACCUCAUUAGAAUUUUUAUCAUCCUUACAGAUUAAUUGUAAUAGACACUCAUAUUAGUGUUGGAUUUUUUUUUCUUUUCUUUUCUUUCUUAGAACAAAUUGUAAGGAAAGGUAUGAACUCACUAAACUUUCUUCAAAGAAAAGAUACUCUGAUGGAUAGGGAGCUAAAAAUGAAUUGAGAGGCCAAGGCUCGACUGCUUGCUCUUUUAUCUGCUCUGUAGACUUUGGAUGAGUCAGCUGGAAGGUGGAAAGAGGGAUUUCUCUCACAAAGGUGAAAGUGUGAGGAGGCCAAGCUCCCAAAGCUGCCAAGAGAAUGAGAUGGACUCCUCCAGCUAGUGUUUUGGAGAAAACUUACAGUAUUGUCACAGUUCUUCAAUUGAAAAACAACAGAAAUGGAAAGUGGAAAUGGAAAAAGUGAGAUGUGUGAUUUUGAAGAAAAAUAUCUCCUUGAUAGAUACAAGCAUUAUUACUCAGUGGUCAGACCCUAGGUAUUUGCCUAUUUAAUGUAUAUUAAUGCAUUUAAAUAGGCAUUUAAUGCCUAUUUAACUCAGCCUAUAGUAUAUAUGUAUAGAUAAGAUACAGAACAGCAGGACAAAUUAUGCUUCUCUCUGUGCGUGAGCAUAGAUUUGCUUUGCCUUUGGUUUUCCUUUAAGGAAAAAAGUUGAUGGGUUUUACCAUAACUGAGGUGCUGUUUUAUUUGACAGGCAACCACAGAUUUUGGUUUCAAACAAGGCUGAUUUCAUUUGUGACAAAUUCAAUAUGUGAAAGAAUGAAGCACUCCCAGGAAACUGCUGGCAUUCAACUCAGCUACAGUUUCAUAUGUAACAGAGAAACAGAGAUGACAAACUACUGGCCUGGAGUACAAAAUCCUUCAAGAGCACAAUGGUAUUUUAUGAAUCUUAAAAUACAGUGAGCUCAAUGUUUUCUUUUAAAAAAUAUAUUCAAAACGAAUACCUGAUAAAUAUGCUGUUUAAUGAAAAGAGAUGUGAAGUGAUUGCCUUGAGAAUAACUUUUAAAGAUGACUUCUACUCUCAUGUUCUACACUGAACGUUUCUCUUACUAGUUUCGAAGUGGAUUUUAGUGCCAAUAUCUAAUGAGGCCUUAAAAUGGCUAGAAGUAAAGAAAGUUGUGCUCCUAUGAAUAACAAAUGCUUUCUUACAGAAUCCCCUCCAUCCCCCAGACUUAUUCUGAAAGUAACCUGCAACUACAGUGGAUAACCCACUCAAAUUUGAAUGGUCAAUCAGUUGUAAGCUUUUCUGAAUACCCAAGAAUGUCCACUUGGGUGUAUUUUCUGCUGCACUACUCAGUUGUCUCAUGGUCUGGGAAGGCACAGGAGCUCAGUGAUAAUGUCAGAGGUCAAGCAAAGUAGGUCUGAAUGUUUCCUGGGAAUAUCCUGAGAAUAUGAACAUUGAUGGCUAUGCAAACUGGGAGCACAGUAACUGAGAACUGGGAAAGAGAAGGCACGUGUAGGGAGGAACUAUCCUAUUGAAUAGGCUUCUGUCCCAGAGGUGUUUCAGAGCAGCCUGUUGCUGUGGAGACCUCUGCAACUCAGAGAAGUCAUUAUGCAGCUAUUAAGGCUUACAAAUUUGGCUUGAACAUCAGCUGUAGUGGAAACAAAGCUGACCAUCAAAGCUGGCAUGUGUAAGCUGGGCUUUCCAACACUAACGUUCUGAGAGAGGUUAUGAUACUGGGUAGAGGAGUGUCCUCAAGGAU
rnacentral:lncRNA from 1 species